CCGGCGCGGAGGGAGUUACGGAAGCCGAGAGGGGCGUGGCAUUUUAGUCGCUGGGAAGCCGGGAAGCGGAGGCAAGAUGGUUUACAUCUCGAAUGGUGAGUUGGAGUGGCUGUGGGGGUGGCCGAUUUCCAGGCAGGCCGGAUUUCGGAAUUUUGUUUUCCCAUCCUAGCUCGCCCGGCCCAGGCCCCCGAGCGGCUUCCCCGGCUUUCGUGUGACCGGGCGGAGCUGGAUGCGAAAUCGCCCCAGCCUAGAGCGCGUCAGCGUUUGUCCCCUUUGCUGACGACGAUCGGGGGCCGAGGUCCCCUGGAGUGGGGUCCUGCGGACGUGAAGCUAAGCACGGAGAUCUCGGAGCCCUUGCCUUUGUACAGCGAGCUUCUGAUGGCGGAUUUGCGAAAGUGGUCUUUGCUCUCGGGCGUGGCUGUCCUUAACUAGUGGAGAAUGGGAUGUUGACUUGGUACAUGUUGCGCUUUCUUUCUUUGCCUUGAGCACUGUUAGAGCUCCUGUGCUUAUCGCCUCCUUUAGUCUUUGUAACUGCCUAGUCAGGUAAUGUUUUAUCCCUGUCUUAAGGAUGGAGACUGAGGCCAGAGGCCCAGGAUCACAAAAGUAGUUAAUGGCUGAGUUCGAAUUCGAACCCAGGUAGGUUAGGAUCAGCAGCCUUGUCAACCAUACUUAUGGUUUCUCUAAAAAAAUCCCCAAACCAGAACUAGCCUAAGGCCAUAAUUAGAUAAAAGCUUUGGAUAGGCUCUUCCCCCAAAAGAGUGUAGCCAGUCAUAUACCCAACUUUUUGCCUGAUUUUCCAGGAACUAAAGAAAAAGCACCCUUGUCUCUAGGAGCAAAUUAAUUAUCAUAGGAAUAGAGGAUCUGAGAGAGACUUAAUUCUGUGAGUUUACAAAGGAAAUGACUGGAAAGAAAAGACAUAGUAUAAUGGAUGAGAUCAGUGUCAGACCAGCUGCUGCUCACUCAGGUGAUAUUCCGUGGUGCAAUGUUAGUAGUUCUUGGAUCACUGGAAGUAGGUACUGGUUCUACUUGAAUCAUGUGUUUAUCUCCAGACUGUUAGGGCAGUCGGUGAGAAGUCUUGACUGAGUGUACUUUGCAUUUCUUUGCUUUACCAAAUCCUAUCUCCCACUUUAAAAAUCCUGGAAACAAAUUGGUUGGUGGACACUAAAGGAAAGCAUCAAAAUUUAAUUUCAUCUUAGUUUUGGACACUUGCAGACUUUAGUUUGUCUUAUAUUAUUUGUGAUUAAGACUAGUAGCUUCUAUUUAUGCAUUAUUGAGUAAUUCCUUGUAUUUGUUGAAUGCUUUAAUGUAUAUACAAUAUUCUAUUUGAGCCACAUAAAUAUCCUGUUAGGACCUUUUAUCUCCCCUAACCUUUUUUUAAAAUUUUGAGACAGGGUCUCACUAAGUUGCUGAGCCUGGCCUGUUGAACCUGCCAUCCUCCUCCUUCAGCUUCCUGAAUUGCUGGGAUUAUAGGCGUGCCCCACCUCGCCCAACUUUAUCUCACUUUUAUAGUUGAGAAAUGUAGUUUUAUUCAAGCACCUUUUUUCCCUCUGGGGAUACUAGAGGACAGGGGCUUCUGCCUUUACAAUCUGGCAUGGGGAAGGGCAAACAAAAAGAUAGACUGAUGGGUGUACAUACUGUACAUUCUUUAAAAUCACAACCGAAGAAUUGGUGGGUUCCAGUUAGACCCUUUUUAGAAUUGUACUUGUUGGCACAAAAUAUUUCUAUUUCUAUCUUAUGAUUUUCCCCUGAAAAUUCCAUGUGAUGGAUAUUCCUGAAAUACUUUUUCUCAGGCAAGAGAAAUGUCACAUCAACCCAUAAAGCAGAGCUGAUAAGAGGCAGAACCAAGCCUGUACCCCCUUUUUUGACUGUGUAGCCAGUUUUUCUCACCACCUCAAUGAGAGCUUAGAUCCAGGUGGGUACCUGAGAAUAAGUUGGUCAAGGAAAGAGGAAAAGUAAACCAGGGCAGAAGUGGUAAGCAGAUAAAGCCCUUGGGACCUUGGAGAGACAGUUAUUCUUUGCCCUAGAUAUUCUGACCUCUUGAGUUGCAAGACUGAAACACUGGAGUAUAAACUUUUCAUGUAGUAGCUGCUGUUAUUUAAAAGUACUUUGAAAAAUUAGGUCCAGUUUUGCUUGAGACAAAGCUAGAGUUUAUUGUUAGGCUCAAGAGCAUCUUGUUAUAGAAAAUAGGGAUCAUUUUAAUGAAGGACAGGCCACUUCCCUUCAGUAUUUAUAGCCUGGGGACUCUUUGAUUUAUAGGAAUUUCAUUAAAAUAACUCAUUCUGAAAAUUUGUGAAAGUAUGUUUAAACAAUCUUUUCAUACAGACAAGAGAUUUUGCAAGUGAAAAAAUAUUUUUUUUUUCCUUUCUAUCCACCCAAGCCAUUUGUUUCUUCAGAAUACUUGAAUAAAGAGAUGUUUAUACCAUGUUCUCAGCAGCAUGAUUCAGUAUAAGAAACUUGAGUCUACUGACAAAUGAAUGGAUAAAUGUAUAUACAUACUCUGGAGUAUUAAUCCUAAAAAGGAAGGAAAGUUUGACAAAUGCUACAAUGUGGAUGUAACUUAUAAGACACUAUUAGGUGAAAUAAGCUAAUCACAAAAGAAGACAUAUGAUUCUUUUUUUUUUUUUUUGGUACUGGGGAUUAAACCCAGAGGCACUUUACCAUAGAAUCACAUCUCUAGUCCUUUUGUUUUUUGAGAUAGGGUCUUGCUAAAUUACUUAGGACCUCACCAAGUUGCUGAGGCUGGCCUCAAAUUUGUGAUCCUCCUGCCUCAGUCUUCCAAGUUGCUGGGAUUACCUGCCCGGCUCCCUAUAAUUUCUCUUAUAUGAGGUUCCUACAAGUCAAAUUCUUAGAGACAGAAAUAAUAGUUAUUGCCAAAGGCUGGAGGAAGGAGGUAAUGGGCAGUUAGAGUUUAAUUAGUGAGGAGUUUCAGUUGGGGAAGACUAAAGUCUUGGAGGUGGAUGGUAGUGAUGGUUUCAGAACAGCAUGAAUGUAUUUAAUGCCACAUACCUAUGCUUAAAAAUGGGGUAAAUUUUAUUAUGUAAAUUUUAUCACUAAAAUGUUUUGUUAUAUGUAUUUUACUAAUAAAAACAAAAGAGGUCUCAGAGAAAUAUUUGAAUAGAAUGAAGUCAACCACUCGACUUAUAUACCAGAGGUAAGCAUUUGAUAUAUUAAAGGAAUGAUCCCUGGAUUAUGGAGCUUUACUUCCCUGAACCCUUCCUUAGAAUGAUACAUACAUUGUAGACUACUUCUUGUGUUGGCUAUAGAAACAGCUGACUGAAUUUAUCAUUGUUGCCUACCUAAAUGUAAUGCUGCUUGGGUCAGAAAUUUGUAGUACUCACCAAAGUUUCUUUAUUCUUUUCUAUAGGACAAGUGUUGGACAGCCGGAGUCAGUCCCCAUGGAGACUAUCUUUGAUAACAGAUUUCUUUUGGGGAAUAGCUGAGUUUGUGGUUUUGUUGUAAGUAUACUAGUGUUCUUAGUUGCUCUGAUGUUUAAGUUGACUGAAGUAUAUUAGUAUAUUAUGUGGCAUAUCUUCAGCUUAGCUCUCCUGAAGCAGUUAAUUGUAAUUUUCAAAUCAUUUUUGGUAAGGGCAGUUGAGAUUCAUUUAAUGAUAAAGCUGCCACCACCAAACAUCUUCCAAUUAAGUUAGCUGGGUUCGCUUAACUUUGUAACCAUUUCAAUCUGCAGCCAGGCCUGUCAAUUCUGUUGUCAAAUGACUAUGCUUUGCAUUCUGUCUACUGAUUCCUUUUAUUCUACAUUAUGUGUAAUAACUGAAUAAGGAGAAUUUUUAUCCUGGUUUUUUUUAAAAAAACCCAAAUCCUAAGUAGUUAACUUUUUAAAAUAAAGACAGAAUUGAUGCAAAGAAGACAACAAUUUAAACUUCCUCAAUAAUUUCAAGCAAUUCUUAUUUAAGUGCAUUUUUGGUCUUUCAUGUGCUUGUUUUAUGAGAACUACUAAUAAGUCUUAUGGUACGUUUGAAUGUGUAUUUGACUGUCUUGUAAAGUACUUGCAGAGUUGCAAAAUCAUGGGAGACAGUUCCUUCUUCAUAUUGCAAGGGGUAGCAGGAUUGGCGUGAUUAUGGAUGUUGGACAUCAGUGGAAGUUAUUCCAUGUGGAGAAAACCAUAUGCAGGUUGACAGAGGAGUGUGAAUAUCGAGCUGUGGGCUUCAUACUUAGUUUGCUUGUAGUUGUGGUCUAGAAAGCUCAAUUUUAUGGCUGCAUGGAACAUAAAUAAAAAGGGGUAGAGUAUAAAAUGAAAGAGAGAGUUCCAUAGAAAAAUUCAGCUAGACACAGGUGAGGUCCUAAAUUAUGUGCAAAACUCAUUUAAAGUGUUUUACAUAUCCCAACUACUCCAUAUCCAUUUACUGUUUUAUUCUUAAAUUUACUGUUAAAUCCUUCUUCUUCACAAAUAAAGAAAAUUCCCUUUCAAUGGAGUUCCAGAAGCCCUGUGCCUCUGCCACACCACUGUCACCCCAUUCCUUCCCAAGAUAAUGUUAGGCAAAGGCUGUUGGCAGGGGAAAGGCAGGGGUGAGGAAGGUGAGACACUAUGAAAACGGACUCUGGUACCUGACACUUGAUGUAGAGUGGAGGAAGGAAAUCAGAGAGGACUCUAGUUUCAUGCUCAGUCUCAGGGAAUUAUUAGCAAAUAAGUGUGGGUUUGGCAGAAAACAUAAUACUUAAUUGAGACACAUGUAUAAGCUAGAUCCUGUAGACCUGUGGGUGCAAGAAAUGUAGGUUUGGCACUACUGACUAGCUUUAUACAUCUUUUCACAAAAAUGAUAGUUAAAACCAUGGAAAUAUAUUUUUAAUGUGGUCAAAAGUGAUACCUCAGUUGUUUUCUGUUCUUUGUUUCAGUUUUAAAACUCUGCUUCAGCAAGAUGUGAAAAAAAGAAGAGGCUAUGGAAACUCAUCCGAUUCCAGAUAUGAUGAUGGAAGAGGGUAUGGCUUUUUAAAAUUGAUAAUAGUUGUUUAUUAUAAUUGCAUUACAUAUUUUGGGUGAAGUUAGACUAGUGGAAGUUAACAGUUAAAUUCCAUUUCACAAAAAAUUGAUGAAUUACUGUAAAUCAAAAAUCAUGUUGCCUCUGAUUUGAUAAACAGUUGAUUUGGCAAAGCUAAAGUAUACAUUCAACAUCCUACGGGAGCCUGGUGUGAUGGUGCACACCUAUAAUCCCAGCAGCUCAGGAGGUUGAAGCUGGGGGAUCACAAGUUCAGUCUCAGCAAUUUAGCGAGGCUGUAAGCAAUUCAGAGAGACCCUGUCUUUACAUAAAAUAUAAAAAAGGGCUGGGGCUAUAGCUCAGUGGUUAAGUAACCCUGAGCUUAGUCCCCGGUUUCCCACCCCCCCAAAAAAAAUCCUACAGGAAAAGUCGAAAUUAGAAGAUGAAAACUGAUGGCUAACAUUAAAGAUUUCAAUUUACAGUAUAAAUUUCCAUCUGCUAAUGAAAAUCUCAGAAGGUCAGAUAGCAUGGGCUGGGUUUUUGUUUCCACGUGGUAGAAAUCAGCCUGAGUUGCUGGAGGCUUGUUCAUCCUAAUCCUGGCUUGACUGUUUCCUCACUUGCAUUAGGUCUCUAGUUCCUAUAAGUAUUUGAAUUUUCAACUCCUGAUCCAAAUGGUAGUUCCUAUUUUAAAGACUCUUUAAGGAUCAUGUGAUGAUUGAAAAAUGAAAGGGUCUAGUUAAAUGUUCGAAGGAAUCCAUUGAAAUUAUGUCUACUAAAGAGUAGAUACUAACUUUGUCUUUUACCAGGCCACCAGGAAACCCUCCCCGAAGAAUGGGUCGAAUCAAUCAUCUUCAGGGCCCUAGCCCUCCCCCAAUGGGUGGUGGAUGAGGAAGGUAACUUAAAAUCUGAAAUUAUUUUCUAAGCUUUUAUUUUGAAAAUGUCUCCUUAGGAAUAUUUCCUUUAGGAAAACUUAAGUCAUUCAACAUUUUAUAAUUACUCAGACAUUGUUUGGGAAAAUAUUUCUCUCUUAACCCCUGGGCAGUUUGUCAACUUUGUUAUCAAAGUAUCUUUUGAGAAAGGUAUUAUAAUCCCAUGUAACAUGUUGAGCUUUAUAUAGGUCCAAUUGAAUAACUGGUAACUAAUAUUACAACCUUUCUUUUAGGUAAACGUCUGCUCUAAGAAGCAGACAACUAAACGUACACAUUCAUAGAAGAAGGAAACCAUUAAGAAGUGGAGGGCUACCAUGCUAGACAAGUGGAGGAAUGUGUACGUCUAAAUAAGGAUUGCUCUGUGUCCUCACAGAUCAAUGAGGUCACGCUGGGAAUUCCCUCUGCAGGGAUCUGGCCUGACUGACAUGCAAUUCCAUAAAUGCACAUGUUUGUCUCAUUAUCUUUUUUGUAUAGUUUAUUAAAGUAUUAAUAUAGUUUUAAUAAGUAAAUAUUUUUAGGUUGUAAAACUGGUUCCUCAUCUUUAUAUAAUUAAUCAUAAAACACUCUAAACCUGAAGAAAAUAAAGGCUGCAUAUUCAGUGCUUGUGUCCCUUUUUUCAAUUGUACAUGG
rnacentral:lncRNA from 1 species